UAGGAAAAUUAGAGAUUAUGU
rnacentral:miRNA from 1 species